rnacentral:rRNA from 1 species
GAUGAACGCUGGCGGCGUGCCUAAUACAUGCAAGUCGAGCGAACAGACGAGGAGCUUGCUCCUCUGACGUUAGCGGCGGACGGGUGAGUAACACGUGGAUAACCUACCUAUAAGACUGGGAUCACUUCGGGACACCGGCGCUAAUACCAUAUAAUAUAUUGAACCGCAUGGUUCAAUGGUGAAAGACGGUUUUGCUGUCUCUUCUAGCUGGAUCCGCGCGGCAUUAGCUGGUUGUUAAGUUAACGGGUUACCAAGGCUACGAUGCGUAGCCGAACUGUGAGGGUGAUCGGCCGCCCGGGAACGGAAACACGGACCUGACUCCUAAGGGAGGCAGCAGUAGGGAAUCUUACGCAGUGGGCGAAAGCCUGGCGGAGCAACGCCGAGUGAGUGAUGAAGGUCUUCGGAUCGUAAAACUCUGUUAUUAGGGAAGAACAAAUGUGUAAGUAACUAUGCACGUCUUGACGGUACCUAAUCAGAAAGCCACGGCUAACUACGUG